AACGAACGCUGGCGUCAUGCCUAACACAUGCAAGUCGAACGAGACCUUCGGGUCUAGUGGCGCACGGGUGCGUAACGCGUGGGAACCUGCCCUUAGGUUCGGAAUAACUCAGAGAAAUUUGAGCUAAUACCGGAUAAUGUCUUCGGACCAAAGAUUUAUCGCCUUUGGAUGGGCCCGCGUAGGAUUAGCUUGUUGGUGGGGUAAUGGCCUACCAAGGCGACGAUCCUUAGCUGGUCUGAGAGGAUGAUCAGCCACACUGGGACUGAGACACGGCCCAGACUCCUACGGGAGGCAGCAGUGGGGAAUAUUGGACAAUGGGCGAAAGCCUGAUCCAGCAAUGCCGCGUGAGUGAUGAAGGCCUUAGGGUUGUAAAGCUCUUUUACCAGGGAUGAUAAUGACAGUACCUGGAAGAAUAAGCCCCGGCUAACUUCGUGCCAGCCGCCGCCGUAAAAC
rnacentral:rRNA from 1 species